UCCCCGUUAUCCUGGGCAGUCUCUCCAGAGUUCCCGGCAUGACCCGUUGGCAACUGGAGACAAGGGUUGCGCUCGUUGCGGGACUUAACCCAACAUCUCACGACACGAGCUGACGACAGCCAUGCAGCACCUGUGUUCUCGCCAGCCGAACUGAAGAAAGGCAUCUCUGCCGAUCAAACGAGACAUGUCAAACGUGGGUAAGGUUCUUCGCGUUGCUUCGAACUAAACCACAUGCUCCACCGCUUGUGCGGGCCCCCGUCAAUUUCUUUGAGUUUUAACCUUGCGGCCGUACUCCCCAGGCGGAGAGCUUAAUGCGUUAGCUGCGUCACCGACACGCAUGCGUGCCGACAACUAGCUCUCAUCGUUUACAGCGUGGACUAC
rnacentral:misc_RNA from 1 species